UAGUUAUAUGAUGAUUUUUUCCAUGCACCACUCUGAUUACUUUUGUGUUGAUUAUGGAUAUCUGACUUAUU